GGAGCCCGCACUGCCCGAAUGUGGUGGUGGGGUGCUCGAUGGCGGAGACACUGGCGAGUUUUUUCCUGGCAACGGCCGGGUUCUUCCUAGUACAGCUGCCUUUGGGUGGUGGGAACGGAGUCCUGGUGCGGCUGGGGAGAGGCGGAUAGCACCCUGUUGGGUCCUGAAGGAACAACCGGUGGUUGUUUUUUCGGAGCCAUUGCCUUGCCUGUGGGUGAGGCUGGUUGCCAGGCAUGGCCUGGUGUGGCAUACCGCCGGCGGUGGUCGGGUUUGGUGUCGCACGGAUCGGGUUGUGGGUUGGU
rnacentral:misc_RNA from 1 species